ACAAAGGAGGGGGAAAGUAUGAAGUAGCAUCAUUAAAAAUGCUGGACGAGGAAUUCAUGCUCGGAAUACAAGGCAAGGACAAAUCUGGCACUUUUUUCCGGCGCAUUACUGUAAUCAAGCCAAUAGCUCUCAUUCUUUCGGUACCGUCAUAUACAGGUGUAAAACUGUAUGAGUAUACGAAGAUGGAGAUACCAUUUUCUGUACUAAAUAAGUUGUCAACAGAUCAAGAUAUUGAUGUUAGAAUUCAGGACACCCAGGAAUUUGCU
rnacentral:lncRNA from 1 species